rnacentral:lncRNA from 11 species
CAAAUCAUGUCCAACCUGGAGAAAGAAGAACUCUCCAAUGCAAUUAUCCUCUAUCUUAGAAGUCUUGGGAUUCAUGUCCAGCCUUGGAAGAUCAGCUCUAGCGAGGAGAAUCACACGGUGCCUUGUGUAGCUGGUGGUCUGUUUGGUGUCCCACUGCACACACUGCCCAUUUCAAAGCAGGUAGCCGGUGUGCCACAGUUCCUUGCUGAUGCUUGUGAGUUGCUCCGGCCACACCUUCACGUUGAAGGACUUUUCCGGAAAUGUGGAUCAACGACACGCAUCAAGGCUUUAAAGGUAUUGUCCCCAAGUCUCUCUUGGGAAAAGUGCAAGCUGCAUUUUCUGACCUGGAUGGAAAGAGACAGCCUUCAUCUGAAUCUGAAGGACAGAAAGAGAGCGAAGGGGAAGUAAGGCGGAGGCGGCGGAGGCACAGUGUGAGCAACUUUGUAACUGAGACCCUGAGCAAAUUCAAGACAAGCCGAUCUCUUUAUGCUGCUCCUUGCCAAGAGAUUAAAACAGGCUCCUCGACUGACAGUACUCUGAGAAUGUCUUUUAAUUCCAAGCGGAAAGCUUCUGAAGAUGUUGCCUGGGCUGCUGAACUUUCAGUCAAGAAGAGGAGAUCGGGCUUGGAUUCACUCAGCUUUGAUACCUUUGUGGAUGAUGCCGGGGACCCAUGUAUUCAACCAAUGUAUUGGGGUUCUGUGCAAGGAAAAGAGGCACUCAGCCCACCAAGCUCAACUGUACAAAUUCAAAGAAAACGGAGCGGCAGCAAGAAAAAACACACUCAGAGAAAACAUCCUGUUCAGACUUCCCCUAGCUCCUCCCCAACCUCUUUUGAGCGAAAGGACACAGGACGCAAAUCCUUACGCAUCUUCUCCCGCCAGAGUAAAGAUCUGGCAGGAGAACCAAGCAGCUGGCUUCUGGUGAAGAAGAUGGUCCCAGAGACUAUUGAAAGUCCCACGUCCCAAGAGAAAUGGGCCCAGCUGCAGUCAUACAGGCUCAGAGAAAGUGCAACAGGCUUUCCAAGACAGUUGGCCAAAGGAAGCAAUUGCCCCGCUAUCUCUAUAAAACCGGAGACUCCACCUGUUGCUGUGAAAUGCAAAAACUGUAAGGUGCCAAGCCCAGGCGUUGAUUAUGUCAUGUCUGGAUGCCAAGAGAUGGGUUUGGAUGACGGGUUUGAAAAAAGAGGGGUAUUGGACAAGGCUGGCUAUUUGGUAAGGAAGACCCAGCCGUUGGCUCCUCCAGCCAAGCAAGACAAACCUAUCCGUCGAUCGAUAAGUUGGUCUGAAGGUCUGUCAAUGAACAUUCCCACCGAAGAAACAGAUUUCUCUCCAGACGAAAUUCCUCUGAAACCUGGACAACAUGAAGCCUUCCCAUUUGACCUACCCGACGCAGCUCAACUCGAUAUGGAAGUCUUAGUGGCUGGCGUGAGGCAGCUGGGCAUCUCUGCUGUGUGUGUAACACCGGUGGAGAGCUGUGAUCCUGGCUGCCCAGAGAAUGGGCCUCGCGAUCCACUUACCUCCACACCAAACCUGUGUGAUAGCCGUAUCCCUCUUGCUGAAGGCCUCUGCCAAAUCAAAGAGGUGCCCAAAAGCCGGCUCAAGUGCCUGACCCUCAAUUUUCAAGCCAGUGAGACAUCCAAAGUUCCCAAACGUAAAGGUGGGCGCCGAUUUGGUCGCUCGAUUAGCCAUGAAAGUGGCUUGCCCUUGCAGGCUGAACAAGAGGCACCCACAGGGCAGAGUGGCCAUGCCAAGAAGGGGGCCUCUGUUCAGUCUCCCAGAAGCCCCUUGCAGUCCUUCAAGGCUUAUGGGAGGCAAAUUUUUAUAAGCCGCAAACAUAUCAUGAUGUCUUUUGCUGGGCUUCGAGGCAAAAAGGAGGCGCCAUGCCCCCGGGGCACUGAAGGGCCAACUGUGGCCACACCAGAACUAUAACUAGGAAUAUCUGUGAGAAGGAAAACAAUCAAAGAUAAAUAAAAUAAGAUUGUAAUAAUGGUCUCCCAGACUCUGCCCUUGGGUGAUCGUUGUCAAUAAUUUAAAAAACCAGAUGUGUAGGAAAACCUGCCCCAAUGUACUCAGCCUUUUUGCCUGCUGGGAGUAGAGUUCUAUUUCUGGCUGCUAUUACAGGUGGAACAUUUAAUUUGCACAGUCCAACUUCAUUGCAUUUCUUUGUAGCUUUUUGGCACAAUUUCAAGUAGCUCAAAUUUAUAAGGGGGUUAGGUUUCUGGAAAGAAAAGUGCUGGUAACAGCUAUUCUGUCCCUUAAGAUGAGACUGAUGUUGGUUUUGGUCUCCUAGCCUUCGCAUAGUCCAUUCUGUUGCCCUUAAAUCCACCUUAAGUCCAUCCUCUCUUUUUCCUGCCAUUUCACCUUGUGCUCGUGCACAACAUCAGUGUCUUCUAGCAAACCAUAUUUUGAUUAUAGAUGUUUAAAAAUGAUGUGUUUAGUCAUCCUUCUGUCAUCCUGCCCUCCAUCCAAAUAAGCUACCUCUAGUGGCCUUGAAUGACCAGGCCUGUGUAUUUUUGUUUUGAAAUAUUUGAAUUAUUGUCCUCAAUAUUAUUAUUUUGCCAUUGGGUAUAUGAUUUACAGCCAGCAGAGCCUGAAGAUGAGAACAUGUUUGGCUUCUCAAACCUGUUUUGGACUUGAGGUUUAUAGCAAAAGUAAAAGGGAAUAUAGUUUGGCUAUCAACUGCUGUGACAUGUAUUCUACCCCAAAUUACGGUGGUCACGAAAGGGAUACUAAGACACAAAUAUAAAUUGAUAUAUUAUGCAUAUGACAGAAUAAUUUUUCUCAAACUUGGUGUUCUCUAUAUGUGUUGCACCACAAUGAAUGCAAGCUAUUGUCCAAUAAAACUGAUGGACACCAGCAGGUGGGAAAAAAUGGAUCAUUCCUGUUUUGUCUGGAUGAUGUUUGUAUGCACCUCAUUUCUUCAAUCCUCCUUUAGAAAGAUGUCAAGUGCCCUGUCGUUUCUAAUAUACCCCAUAAUGAUUUUAUAAUGAUUGUUGUGUUUGCCUCUCAUGUGCCUUUUCUUAAUCUUAUCACAAAAUAAUUAAAAGCAAGAAAUAUCAAGUGAUUGGUCUUCUCUUAAACAACAGAUCACAGAACAUACA